GACGAACGCUGGCGGCGGGCUUAACACAUGCAAGUCGAACGGAAAGGCGCUGCUUUUGUGGGGUGCCCGAGGGGCGAACGGGCGAGUAACACGUGCGUAAACUGCCCUUGACUUUGGGAUAACUUCAGGAAACUGGGGCGAAUACCGGAUAGGAGCUCCUGCUGCAUGGUGGGGGUUGGAAAGUUUAGGGGGAUGGGGAUUGACGAGGGGCAUAUCAGCUUGUUGGUGGGGUAGUGGCUUACCAAGGCUUUGACGGGUAGCCGGCCUGAGAGGGUGACCGGCCACAUUGGGACUGAGAUACGGCCCAGACUCCUACGGGAGGCAGCAGUGGGGAAUAUUGCACAAUGGGCGGAAGCCUGAUGCAGCAACGCCGCGUGCGGGAUGACGGCCUUCGGUUUGUAAACCGCUUUCGCCUGUGACGAAGCGUGAGUGACGGUAAUGGGUAAAGAAGCACCGGCUAACUACGUG
rnacentral:rRNA from 1 species